GUGGGAGGUGGCUUGCUCCCGAUGGCGGUGUGCCAGCCAGCUCAUGUACUGACUGACACACACCCCUCGGGAGCAAGCCCCCUCCCAC
rnacentral:misc_RNA from 1 species